rnacentral:rRNA from 1 species
UACGGAAGGGGCGAGCGUUGUUCGGAAUCAUUGGGCGUAAAGGGCGCGUAGGUGGUUCUGUAUGUCUACCGUGAAAGCGUACGGCUCAACCGUAUUUUGUCGGUAGAAACUGCAGGACUUGAGGCUGGGAGGGGCUGGUGGAAUUCCCUGUGUAGCGGUGAAAUGCGUAGAGAUGGGGGAGAACACUCGUGGCGAAGGCGGCCAGCUGGACCGGUUCUGACGCUGAGGCGCGAAAGCGUGGGUAGCAAACAGG